AAUAAAACAACAGCUAAAAAGUAAAUAAAACUAAACAACAACUAAAAAGUAAAUAAAACUAAACAACAGGUAAAAGUAAAUAAAACUAAACAACAGCUAACAGGUAAAUAAAAUUAAACAACAGCUAAAAGGUAAAUAAAACAACAGCUAAAAGGUAAAUAAAACUAAACAACAGGUAAAAGGUAAAUAAAACAAAA